rnacentral:rRNA from 1 species
UACAGAGGUCUCAAGCGUUAAUCGGAAUCACUGGGCUUAAAGGGUGCGUAGGCGGAUUCGCAAGCACUUUGUGAAAUCCCACCGCUUAACGGUGGAAUUGCUUGGUGGACUGCGAAUCUUGAGCCCGACAGGGGUCGUCGGAACGCUAGGUGGAGCGGUGAAAUGCGUAGAUAUCUAGCGGAACGCCAAAGGUGAAGACAGACGACUGGGUCGGCGCUGACGCUCAGGCACGAAAGCGUGGGGAGCAAAC